GUGCCAGCAGCCGCGGUAAUACGUAGGUGGCAAGCGUUAUCCGGAAUUAUUGGGCGUAAAGCGCGCGUAGGCGGUUUUUUAAGUCUGAUGUGAAAGCCCACGGCUCAACCGUGGAGGGUCAUUGGAAACUGGAAAACUUGAGUGCAGAAGAGGAAAGUGGAAUUCCAUGUGUAGCGGUGAAAUGCGCAGAGAUAUGGAGGAACACCAGUGGCGAAGGCGACUUUCUGGUCUGUAACUGACGCUGAUGUGCGAAAGCGUGGGGAUCAAACAGGAUUAGAUACC
rnacentral:rRNA from 1 species